GCCCGGGUGGUGAAAUUGGUAGACACAAGGGAUUUAAAAUCCCUCGUCGGUAACGACGUGCCGGUUCAAGUCCGGCCCCGGGCACCA
rnacentral:tRNA from 4 species